UACGUAGGAUGCAAGCGUUGUCCGGAAUUAUUGGGCGUAAAGAGCGCGCAGGCGGUCUAUCAAGUCAGACGUGAAAUCCCUCGGCUCAACCGGGGAACUGCGUCUGAUACUGGCGGGCUUGAAUUCGGGAGAGGGAUGUGGAAUUCCAGGUGUAGCGGUGAAAUGCGUAGAUAUCUGGAGGAACACCGGUGGCGAAGGCGGCAUCCUGGACCGACAUUGACGCUGAGGCGCGAAAGCCAGGGGAUCAAACGGG
rnacentral:rRNA from 1 species